AUUUCUGUACGAGCGCCACGAGCAGUCGAAGCAGGAUCUCAAGGGGCUGGAAGAGACUGUCGCCCGGGAACUCCAGACCCUCCACAACCUGCGCAAGCUUUUUGUUCAAGACGUCACGACUCGAGUCAAGAAAAGCGCAGAGAUGGAACCCGAGGACAGUGGGGGGGCCCAUUCUCAGAAGCAGAAGAUUUCCUUUCUUGAGAACAACCUGGAG